rnacentral:rRNA from 1 species
AUUGAACGCUGGCGGCAUGCCUUACACAUGCAAGUCGAACGGUAACAGGUCUUCGGAUGCUGACGAGUGGCGAACGGGUGAGUAAUACAUCGGAACGUGCCUAGUAGUGGGGGAUAACUACUCGAAAGAGUGGCUAAUACCGCAUGAGAUCUACGGAUGAAAGCAGGGGAUCGCAAGACCUUGUGCUACUAGAGCGGCCGAUGGCAGAUUAGGUAGUUGGUGGGAUAAAAGCUUACCAAGCCGACGAUCUGUAGCUGGUCUGAGAGGACGAUCAGCCACACUGGGGCUGAGACACGGCCCAGACUGCUACGGGAGGCAGCAGUGGGGAAUUUUGGACAAUGGGCGAAAGCCUGAUCCAGCAAUGCCGCGUGCAGGAUGAAGGCCUUCGGGUUGUAAACUGCUUUUGUACGGAACGAAAAGCCCCGAGUUAAUACCCUGGGGUCAUGACGGUACCGUAAGAAUAAGCACCGGCUAACUACGUGCCAGCCGCCGCAGUAA